rnacentral:rRNA from 1 species
GACGAACGCUGGCGGCGUGCCUAAUACAUGCAAGUAGAACGCACAGUUUAUACCGUAGCUUGCUACACCAUAGACUGUGAGUUGCGAACGGGUGAGUAACGCGUAGGUAACCUGCCUGGUAGCGGGGGAUAACUAUUGGAAACGAUAGCUAAUACCGCAUAAUAUUAAUUAUUGCAUGAUAAUUAAUUGAAAGGUGCAAUUGCACCACUACCAGAUGGACCUGCGUUGUAUUAGCUAGUAGGUGAGGUAACGGCUCACCUAGGCGACGAUACAUAGCCGACCUGAGAGGGUGAUCGGCCACACUGGGACUGAGACACGGCCCAGACUCCUACGGGAGGCAGCAGUAGGGAAUCUUCGGCAAUGGACGAAAGUCUGACCGAGCAACGCCGCGUGAGUGAAGAAUGUUUUCGGAUCGUAAAGCUCUGUUGUAAGAGAAGAACGGGUGUGAGAGUGGAAAGUUCACACUGUGACGGUAUCUUACCAGAAAGGGACGGCUAACUACGUG